rnacentral:lncRNA from 1 species
UCCUUCCUCAACAACCCCCCCCCCCCCGCCCCCUGACAUUGCUACCCUCCUUCAACUUUCUCCAACAUACUGAACUGAACGUGACCAAGGGAAAAGUUCUUCAUCAGCUGUUAACAGUUUCAGUUUGGGUAAUUUUGUUGUUUCUUUGAGGUUGAGUCUCCUUCUUUUGUCUCAGAUUUAUUUUUGGUUUGUUUCUGUUCUGUUUUAAAAAAUUCUUUUUUCUAAUUAAAUGUAGGGUAUCACAAAUUUAGACACACACACUUGAUAUGUUUUUGUUGCAUUCGAUGACCAUUCAUUAGAUAAAAGUUGCACCUUUUUGUUUCACAGAACUUUCCUAACAUUGCUUGUGUUCCAUAAGUUGUUGAUGAUAACAAGAAGCAAAAGUGGUGAAUGUGUGAGUGAAGUGGUCCUUGUAUUUCUGUGUGCAUCUAAAAGACUACAAGUAAGUGAUGGGCUUUUCUGUAGCUCUUCAUGUCUGUGUCGUGUUCUAAUAAAAUGAGAGCAUAAAAAAAAGAACAGGUCUGCACAAGGGAAAUCCAGUGUUGAAUAAGGGUGCCACUUUUUGUCAAAUUUUUUUUCUGAAAUCUGUGGUAUCUUAGUUCCACUGGAACAAUGUAAUUGGGAAGAUAUCUCGCGUCACCUUUUAAGAAAACAAGAAAGAGGAGGAAAAUGUCUUUGUAGGUUCGGGUUAUACACCGUAGUCACUGAUGUCCGGGAUGAUUUUAUUCCUUCAAGCUCAAAUAUUUUCUGCUGUGGUUUCGUUGUUGUUGUCAGUAGUUUUAUUUUGGAGAAUUAAUCAAGCUGUAUUUUUAAGAUGUAGUUCUAAUCUCUUAAAGCAACAACUGCCAAUGAUUAUGCUUACAUAAUGCUUUAACUACGUGUAGCUAUGGGACGAAAUGUAUGUCGUGAAUCUUUUUACUUUUCUUUACACUUACGACCUAACCCCUCCUCUAAGAAGCACUUUGAAAUGCUAUGGGGAUUUUGGCGCAUUUUGUUGUGUGGAAAUUAUUUCAAAGUCUCUAUUCUAUUGCACAAAGGUAUAUUUUUUAUUUCAAAGUGACUUAAUAAGAUUCACCUCAUCACUGCCUUGUUCUAUGCCCACAUCUCUCUUGAGAAGUGGCAUAAAAAAAAAAAAGAUAAUAAUGCAUCAAACGUCGUAGUUCGAUUCAAAUUUGUGUAAGUCAUGUAAAGGGCAGUUUCCCGGGUUCCUGUAGACCAAUUAGAAAAGACUUUGGAACAGUCUGUAGGCUUGUUCAUAGAUUGACUAAAAAAUAAUACUUACUGUCAGAAGAGCAUCAGGUAGGGUGCAUUAGUUCUUAUAGUAAUGGAAGUUUCUUUUCUGAGCGAGUUUAUUUCAAAUGGAGGGGAAUCUCAUACGUAGUCGUCAUACAUAGUAAUUUCACCACAACAACAGGGUAUAGGGUAGGGAGGGUGUGAUGAAGCUCACGGUGAGCUGAGGCAUAGUGGACCUAUUCUGUCUUGUAUGUUGGUUUUCUGUGCAGUACUAGGUCAUGUAGUGAAAUGUUUCCUCUAGAGACGCCCUGUGCAGUACUAGGUCAUGUAGUGAAAUGUUUCCUCUAGAGACGCCCUGUGCAGUACUAGGUCAUGUAGUGAAAUGUUUCCUCUAGAGACGCCCUGUGCAGUACUAGGUCAUGUAGUGAAAUGUUUCCUCUGGAGACGCCCUGUCAGCUGCUGCAAGCCCUAAUUUCUUUUGUUUUGGCAUUAUUAGUCUUAUUCAUGAUGAGUGUAUUUUAGAUUUUAACAAUUUGUUAAACAGUAUUAUUAACUUUUGUCCCUGUCGGGUAGCAUUUUUUUUUUUUUAAAAGAGAACUGCACUGAUGAUAGAUGGAGGGAUAAACUGGUCAUGGCCAAGUACAUAAUUUUAUGUUUUGUUGCAUCAAACCAUCACAUCCUUUUUUCAACGUGAAAACAAUUGUCAGUAACAGAUUAUAAUGUACAAAAUAAAAGAUGUUAUAAUUUAUUAAUUCAGCUCAAGGUCUAUGGCAAAUAUUGGUGAUGAGUUCGAGAUUUCAAUGAAUUCAUAUGCUGAGCAGUAAGGACUUGCAUUGAAAUGUUAGUAGGGUGAAUUAUCUCUUUAGAUACUAAUAUCAAAGGAUGACAAUUUUUAGGGAUUUUUCCAUAACUAGAAAAAAAUCGCAGAUGUUUAAAUGCUUCAGAAAAUAGAAAAUCAGUGUUGGGAUACUUUGAGUUUGGAUUAUCUUAAUCCCCAACGGAUAGGAAGAGCAGAGAUCAAACAGUGUCAAGCAGUAUGGUAAAUUAAAUUGUCUGUGAAUAACUGAGCUAGUGCACAUUAUUUCUUCGAGCUGUUUCCACAGUUUUCCAGAGUGUUUCUAUAGACUAUUUUGUUCUUGUAUUAAUCGAAAUUUAUUGUUUUUCUCACUUGUAG